rnacentral:rRNA from 1 species
UACGGGGGGGAGCAAGCGUUGUUCGGAUUUACUGGGCGUAAAGGGCGCGUAGGCGGCCAGCACAAGUCAGUUGUGAAAUCUCCGAGCUUAACUCGGAACGGUCAACUGAUACUGUGCGGCUAGAGUGCAGAAGGGGCAACUGGAAUUCUUGGUGUAGCGGUGAAAUGCGUAGAUAUCAAGAGGAACACCUGCGGCGAAGGCGGGUUGCUGGGCUGACACUGACGCUGAGGCGCGAAAGCUAGGGGAGCGAACGGG